rnacentral:lncRNA from 1 species
AUCGGAGGUGCGUACAGAGCGCGAUGCUCGGCUGUCGACUUGGCGAGUGUGUCGAUGAGAUAGGCAAAGUAGUUGGGCUCUUUGACCCUGGCGGCAGCAAUCCAAUCAUUACGUUGCGGCGCGUCCGUCUUUAGAUGGCGCGCCACAUCGGUGCGACCAUAGGGUCCGAUCAGGCGCACCAAGUGGCCCGGCCAUCCGUGCAGGUUGCACGAGAGAAUGACAUUCAUGGUGGCGACAGAACCACAUGCGAGGACCGCACGAGCAAUAUGUUGUGCGAGGCCACACUCGGCGCUGCAUCUGCCUUGGCACCAGUAUGGGUUAUCGGCAUGGGAACAGGACUUGCUCGCCACAUCAUCCCCAGCAGCGGCGCGAAGGGCAAGACGCGACCAUUCGACGUCGAGGGCGUGCGUCACGGCCUCGGGCGUGUCCGAAGCGACAAGAGCAACGAUGGCCUGGCCUCGGGUGGCACCCGCAUUGUCGCGGCACCAUGUAUAGACAUUGUCGAGGCGUGACCGCGGCCAAGUGUCGGGCCGCUGUGCAAUCCACUUGGCGAUGGCCGAAGCACAGACCACGCGCCCCGUAGGCCACUUGGGGCAGUCCACACGUCUGCCAUCGCCGAUAUUAGGCGCAUCGAGGUCGCUGUGCGGAUAUGUGCCCAUGGCGGUCGCCUGGGCGGGCGAUGGAUGUUCGAUCACCUCGCGCCACAGCCGACAGACACCUCGCGCGGCAAACCGCCACCGUGGGUCGAGAAAGGGUCGCGGGCGACGCGGACGAGCGCGCCAAAGUUGGACGCCGCUGCCGCCGACCCUGGGCGCGGCGCCAUUGAGGAUCAUGCACAAGAGUUCCAGGGGCAGUUGCUCGAUGUUCAUCUCACGUUUGCUCUUUUUUCUGACCUAUUGCCUUUUGCCUUUUUUGGCGGGAUUCGUAUUGUUGUCGUCGCCUUGGACCCAGGUUGGCGACUAUGUUGUAUCGCCGGGAAAGACUGUCGCUGGCCUUGCCGACGAAAAAAGGGCGACCAGGCCGAACCACGUCCGCACCGAUCAAGAGACAGUGCCGAUGGGUGGGUGUUUUUUUGCAUGAGUGACUGCGCAUACGCCGCACGACCAGGGUGUGGGGGCAAAAAAGCACUGCCCUGUUGGAC